CUCCAUCUCUCUCUCUUCCUUUGGCCAGAGUUGGAUGCAAACACACAUGUGCUUGCUCCAGCUUUAGGCACAUGCCCGAAGCUAGUUAUAUUGUAAAUUUAAGUAUUUUGCCUGCAUGGAUUCUACUGCUGCUAUUGCUGUGAAACAAUGCAAGAUUGUAAGUAAGUCAAUUAUAUUUAUAAACUUACUUCCCAAGUUAUUGCCUGUAAGAAAGAGGUGCCAGCUUAUUUCAUAGCUGGAGUUGCUCAAAACAAGGCUUUACAGCCUAAUUUAUGGAAUCAUAGAGCCAUAGAGUUGGAAGGGACACCAAGGGUCAUCUAGCCCAACCGCCUGCAAUGCAGGAAUCUCAGCUAAAGCAUCCAGGACAGGAGGCCAUCCAACCUCUGCUUAGAAACCUCCAAAUGUCAGGAUGCUGUCAGUGACUCCUGGCUGGUUGGCCGGAAAAGUAUAAAGACCAGGAAAAGUUUCUUACAGUUCUUUUUUAUUUCAGACCUUACAGAGAGAGCCUCUUGGAUAAUGGCGUUGUCCUGAGUGAAUCUCCACCCCCCUUCUCUCCCACUCCCUCAUUGGUCAUCGUCUCCUCUGUGCCCUCUGCCUUUGAGCUCUUUGCUCUCCUACUUUUAAGGCUUACCGGGUUCUCGGAGAUGAAGGGUCUGGAAUGCUUUCUAGUGACAAUGUGUCAGCCAACUGCUGCUCCGGCUGCCUGCUCCGCCUCUCCCAUCAUUUCCCAAAUUUCCCCUCAUCUGCCUCUGAGCUGUGACCUCCCACAAACCCCUGUUGUAAAUCUAUACUAUCUUCCUCUUCCUCCUCCAUCGAAGGGUCAGGAUGGGGAGGUGGUCUCCACCACUCCUCCUCCUCUGUCCAGCCCCUGACAUCACCCCCCUUCUUCUGCCCAGUCCCUGACACCAAGGAAGGAGAGUCCACCACCUCCCAAGGGAGAUUCCACUGUCGAUCAGCUGUUAUUGUCAAGAAAGUUUUUCUGAAUGUUUAGUUGGAAUCUCCUUCCUUGAAACUGGAAGCCAUUGGUUCAAGUUUUACCCUCCAGAGCAGGAGAAAACAAGCUUGUUCCCUCUUCCAUGUGACAGCCCUUAAGAUAUUUGAAGAUGGCAAUCAUACCUCCUCUCAGUCUCCUCUUUCGCAGGCUAAACAUACCCAGUUCCUUCAAGCGCUCCUCGUAAGGCUUGGUUUCCAGACCCUUGAUCAUCUUGGUCGCCCUCCUCUGCACAUGUUCCAGCUUGUCAAGAUCCUUCUUAAAUUGUGGUGCCCAGAAUUGGACACAGUAUCCCAGGUGUGGUCUGACCAAGGCAGAAGAGUGUGGGACUAUAUCUUCCCUUGAGCUGGACACUAGACUUCCGUGGAAGUAUAUUCCUAUGCUCUUAGUUUUGCUGCUGAGAAUGGGAUUUUGAAACUGUUCAACCCACAAACGUGGGAGCCUGGAAGGCUAAAUUGCAAUUAAUAUAUCCUCUCCUACCCAUUAAAACCCAUCCCACAUCUUUUGUGUUGUAGGAUUGUUGUUGUGAGAGGGGCCAAGGAGGGCAGCAGUGAGAGUCAAGCAGCACAGCCAGCCAGCAAAUUCAGAGCUGAGAGGAGAGUGGAAACCUGAGCCCUGCAUGAUUUAUAUCGGGAAACAUUUGCUUUGGGGUUUUCUUUUUGCAACUGAAGUUGGAGUGUUAAAGUGCCAAACACGUCCACAAUUACAUACUACGAGGUCCCCUUCUCAAACAGCUGCCAGUGUCUCAGGUUAGGAAGUCCGGCAAGCUCUUGGCCAUCUAGAAACACCUGUGCUUCUUUGAUGGGGCUCUGAUAGAGAACGACCCUCCUGCCUGUAGGUUCAUCCCACUCAUAGGUUUUUAAAUUCCGCUUUAAAGGAAACUCACAGAAUACUGAAAACCCCCAUCGGGAGCCUCUCUCUCCGACACAUGCAAAAUAACUGGCAAGCCCAGCCCACCCACAACGGCACGCUAUACGGAGGGCCAGCUAAUUGGCUGUAAUGGGAUUAGGAAC